AGGGUGAUAUCCAACAAUAACAAAAAGCUUCAAAGACAGGAACCAAUGUUGAAUCAUAAUACUGGAUGAGGUAGCAGAUAAUUAAAGCAGAUUUCAGACAAAUAUUCAUGAGGGUGAUAUCCAACAAUAACAAAAAGCUUCAAAGACAGGAACCAAUGUUGAAUCAUAAUACUGGAUGAGGUAGCAGAUAAUUAAAGCAGAUUUCAGACAAAUAUUCAUGAGGGUGAUAUCCAACAAUAACAAAAAGCUUCAAAGACAGGAACCAAUGUUGAAUCAUAAUACUGGAUGAGGUAGCAGAUAAUUAAAGCAGAUUUCAGACAAAUAUUCAUGAGG